GAUGAAGAACGUAGCGAAAUGCGAUAAGUAAUGUGAAUUGCAGAAUUCCGUGAAUCAUCGAAUCUUUGAACGCACAUUGCGCCCCCUGGUAUUCCGGGGGGCAUGCCUGUCCGAGCGUCAUUGCAACCUUCAAGCGCGGCUUGUGUGUUGGGUCUCGUCCCCCGUGGACGGGCCCGAAAGGCAGUGGCGGCGUCCCGACAUGGUGCCCGAGCGUAUGGGAAUCCUCUUCCGCUCGAAUCGGCCCAUGCGGCGCUGGUCGUAACCAAAUUUUUUACCGGUUGACCUCGGAUCAGGUAGGGAUACCCGCUGAACUUAAGCAUAUCAAUAAGCGGAGG
rnacentral:misc_RNA from 1 species